GAUGAACGCUGGCGGCGUGCCUAAUACAUGCAAGUCGAGCGAAUGGAUUAAGAGCUUGCUCUUAUGAAGUUAGCGGCGGACGGGUGAGUAACACGUGGGUAACCUGCCCAUAAGACUGGGAUAACUCCGGGAAACCGGGGCUAAUACCGGAUAACAUUUUUAACCGCAUGGUUCGAAAUUGAAAGGCGGCUUCGGCUGUCACUUAUGGAUGGACCCGCGUCGCAUUAGCUAGUUGGUGAGGUACCGGCUCACCAAGGCAACGAUGCGUAGCCGACCUGAGAGGGUGAUCGGCCACACUGGGACUGAGACACGGCCCAGACCCCUACGGGAGGCAGCAGUAGGGAAUCUUCCGCAAUGGACGAAAGUCUGACGGAGCAACGCCGCGUGAGUGAUGAAGGCUUUCGGGUCGUAAAACUCUGUUGUUAGGGAAGAACAAGUGCUAGUUGAAUAAGCUGGCACCUUGACGGUACCUAACCAGAAAGCCACGGCUAACUACGUGCCAGCCGCCGCGGUAA
rnacentral:rRNA from 1 species